UUGAAUCCUGGAGAGUGGCCGAUCCACAUUUUUGGCCCAAAAAUAGGGAUGACCUUAUUCCUCUAAAAUAGGUGGAAUAAGCCAAUCCAACUUAAGUUGAAUUGGACAAUCCCCAUCAUCGAGCCGAAUUCUUUUCGCAAAACAAUAUUUCAUAGUGCUAUUUGACAUCCGGCAACAAAAUCGAAAGGGGAAAAAGAAACCGCAACAAAAACAAACAGAGAAAAGGAAAUUGUGUCGCUCUCUCUCCCUCUGCUAGGGUUCACUGUGCUGCUCUCUAUGCCUCUGCUCGCUAUCUCCCUCCCGCUCGAGCCAUCAAGGACCCUGUCAAGCUCUUGACACCAAGAUACCGGAAUGCUCCAGGCAAGUGCUAGGCUGCUCAAGAGCCGUGCAUUGCUCCUAUCUCACUAUAGAGGAGGCAGUGACACGAUUUCAAGAUUAUCAAAAAAGCCAUGGACGUGUAGUUAUUCCUACAAAUGGGGGACCUGUACCUGUUUCAACCACUGGGAGUGCAUUGAAGACAAUUGCAUUCGUAGCAAUACUUAUAUGCAUAUGUUUGUCAUCAUAUUGUAUUUUUCUUCUAACAUGUAUUAUUUUGCAUUAGACCAUUAUUACUCUAAAUUAAACUAGAUCUUGGUGCAAACUAACUCUCCUUAUUACUUUAUGGACUUUUGGCGUGUAUUAUAUGAAAUAGGUGUUAAUGGAAUAGUAGUUUAUUUCAUUGAUUGUUA